GACGAACGCUGGCGGCGUGCUUAACACAUGCAAGUCGAACGGAAAGGCCCUGCUUUUGUGGGGUGCUCGAGUGGCGAACGGGUGGGUAACACGUGAGUAACCUGCCCUUGACUUUGGGAUAACUUCAGGAAACUGGGGCUAAUACCGGAUAGGAGCUCCUGCUGCAUGGUGGGGGUUGGAAAGUUUCGGCGGUUGGGGAUGGACUCGCGGCUUAUCAGCUUGUUGGUGGGGUAGUGGCUUACCAAGGCUUUGACGGGUAGCCGGCCUGAGAGGGUGACCGGCCACAUUGGGACUGAGAUACGGCCCAGACUCCUACGGGAGGCAGCAGUGGGGAAUAUUGCACAAUGGGCGGAAGCCUGAUGCAGCAACGCCGCGUGCGGGAUGACGGCCUUCGGGUUGUAAACCGCUUUCGCCUGUGACGAAGCGUGAGUGACGGCAAUGGGUAAAGAAGCACCGGCUAACUACGUG
rnacentral:rRNA from 1 species